rnacentral:misc_RNA from 1 species
GGUCGCGACAGGUGGCCAGCCGAAACCGGGAGGCAGGAGCGCGAGGCAGAGGGGCAGCGUCAUCACCCGGGCGCGCGCCAACGACAACGAGGCCGAGGCCGGAAAUAACACGCCGGGCGGGCGGGUCACUGCUGCUGCCUUUGCCGCUGCGCGUCCGCGGAAGGGGACGCGUCCCCGUCCGUCUUCCCACUUUUCCCCGAUAAAACCACGGGCGCCUCUCGUCCAUUCCUCGCUCGCCCACCCUCCCCGCGGAUCACAGACAGCCUGUGCCCGCCUUCCAGUCCACAAUCUCCCUGCCUCUCCUCUCCCACCCUCCCUCCGAAAAGCAAGCUCCGGCCCGGACCGCCCCACCGCGCGCGCGCAUACACAGAGAGAGAGAGAGAGACCGCACGGUCGUUCGGGGUUCCUUUGGCCAGGCGCACGACACGAGCAUGGCGCAGCGCGACAAGAAGGAGGAGCCCACGGAGCUGCGGGCGCCGGAGAUCGCGCUCUGCGCCAACAACUGCGGCUUCCCGGGCAACCCGGCCACGCAGAACCUGUGCCAGAGCUGCUUCUCGGCGUCGAGGUCGUCGUCGUCGUCUUCGCAGCCGUCCCCUACCUCCUCUCCCUCAGCUUCCGCGCCGGCCGCCGCGGUGCCGCAGCCGAGGCCGGCGCUCCUGGACGCGGCGCUGCAGCUGGCGCCUCCGGCCGCGGCCGCGGGCCAGCCUGUGGAGGCCUCGGCCAGGACUUCUGCCAACCGGUGCUCCAGCUGCCGGAAGCGCGUGGGGCUGACGGGGUUCCGGUGCCGCUGCGGCGACCUGUUCUGCGGCGCGCACCGGUACUCGGACCGCCACGGCUGCCGCUACGACUACAGGGGCGCCGCCCGGGACGCCAUCGCCCGGGAGAACCCGGUGGUGCGCGCGGCCAAGAUCGUUAGGUUCUGAUUCGACCGGCGGGCGGAGGAAGGAAUUGCAGAGAGGGAAAACGAAGAUUCCAAGGGCGGAAGGGGGGAAAGGCAUGCGAAAUCAGAGAGGUCUUCGGUGUUACUACUAUGCUGUUCUUGGACGUGUUUGAUUUUUAAUCUCCUUUUAUAUAUAUAUAUAUAUAUAAUUUUCCUACGGAGGUGGGAGGAGAGGAGGUGGACGAAGAAUAGUGUAAUGAUAAUGGUGGUGGUGCAGCGGCGGUGGUUGAGGGCCCAAAACGAUGAACACAUGGGGUUGGGUUGGGUGUAUGUAUCUAUCUGUCACACGCAGCUUUUGUGCAAGAC